rnacentral:rRNA from 1 species
GACGAACGCUUGCGGCGUGCCUGAGAAAUGCAAGUCGAGCGGGGUGUAGCAAUACACCUAGCGGCGAACGGUCGAGUAACACGUAAGCAACCUGCCCUGCAGUGGGGGAUAACAGUGGGAAACUGCUGCUAAUACCGCAUAGGCAUAUUUCUGGGCAUCCAGGGAUGUGUAAAGGCUAGACUGCUGCAGGAGGGGCUUGCGGCCUAUUAGCUAGUCGGUGGGGUAACGGCCUACCGAGGCGACGAUGGGUAGCUGGUCUGAGAGGAUGGUCAGCCGGAUCGGGACUGAGACACGGCCCGGACUCCUACGGGGGGCAGCAAUCAGGAAUAUUGCGCAAUGGGGGAAACCCUGACGCAGCGACGCCGCGUGCGGGAUGAAGGCCUUCGGUCGUAAACCGCUGUGUGGAGACGGAAUGACUGUCGAUGAGGCAGGUGGAGACGGUAUCGUCACCGAGGAAGCCCCGGCUAACUACGUGCCAGCAGCCGCGGU